rnacentral:lncRNA from 1 species
GCUUUCAAAAGUUCAAUUUAGUUUUUAUGACCUUCAACGGUUUUAGUUUGACAUAAGCUGGACCGUUCAAGAUCAUUAAAACUAAAUCAAACUUUUGAAAGCCUUAACGAUCACCAAAUCAUAUGAAAUUUUGUAGAGGUGAUCUACUCAUAUAGACCUAUGAUAUGAACGGUGGAGAUGUAAAAAUUCAAUUAGGAAGUGGUGUAAUGCCCUAUCCCUAGAAAAUAGCCAAAAAUAGGGAUCCCUCAAUGGAAGGGGGCUGUAUAUAUAAUAUAUAUAUUAUAUAAUAUAUAUUAUAUAUAUAUAUAUAUUCAGAUUUAGUAAGUUGUGGCACUCUCUGAUUCAGUUGAUGGGAUCUUCAUUUUUCCUCUGCAUUUUCUUAUUGAUAGAGAGUGAGAGAUGAAACUUAAUUUUGAGUUUUGUUGAUGUAGCGACUUGAAGUUUGUUGUUUUGUGGGUUAUGGGAUUCAGAAGAUCAACGAUUCUACAUCAAUUAAGGGGAGGGUUUCAUUAUUCGUUUUCAGGGGCGAGGGGGGGGGGGGGGGGGGGGCUUCAUUAUUCGUUUUAGUUCAAUUCACCUUUAUUUUUCAUUCUGCAUUUUGUUUUUGUCAAAAUAAGAUUUCAGGUUUGUAUGACUGAUUUGGGGGUUUUAUGGUGCAGGAGUUUAGGGUUGUGAUAUUGGGUUUUUAAUUUGUUGUUUUCAUCUAACACACUGGUGAUGAAGACCUUUCUAAGAUUGUUUUUUUUUGUGCUUCCUUUUUUAUUAUUCAUUUAACACACAAUCUUAUUUCUCAUUUGUUUUUUUUUCCUUUCUUUUUAUGCAGUUGAGGUUUUAAGAUUUGGGCUUCUAGACAAUACGCCAUAAGACAGGUAUGAGUGUUUCCCUUCUGCUAUUAAAGUGUUUGUUUUCUUAAUAUUUCAAGUUUGAUGGAUGUGGUUGGUUUUGUUUUGAAUUGAUUCAUAGAUAACUGAUCUGCAAGUACAGUAUGGUUUAUAUAGGUUUUAUCGUUUUCAAACUGGCGUACAUGUCUUUGCUCUAUUUACUUCUCUGUAAUGUAUUUAUAAACAGCUUUAGUUUUCGACUGUCAUGAGUUAGAUAGCUUGCUGAAUGAGUCUUCAAAGUUCUCUGCCCAUUUUUUUUAAAUGUGCCUAAAAUUGUGAGCUUUAUGGACUCAUUGAUUGAAACAUUCAUAAGUGUAGUUAACUUUUUUUUUAAAUGUGUCAAAGCUCUCUGCCUAAAUAUUUUUUAAGAACAUGAAUUCUUGAGUUCAUUAGGGUCAAUAUAGAAAGCAUUGUUUUCAAGUCUGAUAAUUGGCCCUUUAUCAUUGAGUUCAUUAAGUUCAUUAAGACAAUUGUGAUUGAUUUGUGGGUGUAUUUUGCAGAAGGGUAAGUAUUUGAGAGGAAGAUUUGAAUAAAGAGAUGAAGAACUUGGUGUCGGAUCGCAGUUUUUUCAUUGACAGUGAAGAAGAAGAUGAUGAGGCAAAGGACAACAUAAUGAUUCUGAUUCUUCGGGUUCGGAAGCCUAUCACUGCCAGCAGCAGUAGCAGCAGCAGAUUCAGCUCAGUUCUUACAACACCCAAAAGCCUCAGAGUUACAGGUUCUCAUCUCUCUGUCCUUUUGCUCUCUUUUGCUCUUUGAAAUUUGUUAGCUAGUUCUGUUGAUUUUAAGUUUUUUUUAUUAUUUUCCCACAUCACUGAAGUUUUUUUUAGAUAAUUUUUGUAGGGAGAAUAGGCCAACUUUCUAAUGUAUUUCUCUUUGUUUUGAUUUGAUGAUCUAAAAGUCACACUAAGAAUAGUAAUCGAAACAAGUAUUGCAUAAGGUAUUAGUGCCAAAAUGACAAAUUUAGUUAACAUUUCAGUUGGCAUCUCUAAACUUUAUGGAGCUCUUUCAAGGAUCAGGAUCCUCUCGUUGGCUAUUAAUGGUGUUUGGGUAUCCUCAGCUUUUCAUCUCAGCCGUUAAUGACGAAUCCAACGAUUAAGAAUCUACUACGUCAGCAAAAUUAGCAUUAAGUUUGCAUUAAUUACGUACUUUCAAUAUUCUACUGUUAAUCACCCUUAAUGCCGUUUAUGUUGCUUUCUCUCGGCAUUUUGCCUCUAUGGAGUCUUUACCUCUUCCUCAAACUAAAAUGGUGGACAUGUUCACCCAUUAACAUGAAUUUUCCAUGAGCUUGAAUAUCAAUCCAGUAAUCUCGUAAAUUAAUAAAGAUUUGUCAAAUUCAAUAUGGGAUAUCUAAAUUCCCAGAAGAUUACCAUUUAGUUUGCUAAAUCUCCAAGACCCAAAUUGGAGAUGUCAAAGAAGAUCGAAUUGGAGAAAGACGAAGUGAUGAUCUGUUUAGAACCUCAACUUUGGACCAUCACAGAGCUCGGAGUAGGAUUUUCUAUCAUCUGGGUCAGUAAUGAAGAUUUCUCUAAUUUAAUCAACAGAGAAAAACUUUCUCUUGUUUUUCUCUAAUUCUUUGGUGUUCAAAGCCAUUCUGGGUUCGAUAUUUAUGUUCAGAUCCAAUACGAGGAAUUUUCAACCCAAGGUAUGAAGAUUUUCAAACUUGAAGCUUUGGAGAUAGAUGAAGGAAAACAUGACUUGAAUCCAACCAUAUAGACUUGAAUCUAGAUUCUGACUUCUGUCUAGAUCAAAUUAUGGAAAGAAUGCGGCUAUUGGGACCUCUAAAUUUGCUUACUUGACCUCACUGUAUUAUGAAUUAUUAAAUGACAUAUUUAUCCUCUUACACAAUUACUAUUAAGAACACUAAUUAAACAAAAAGUAAUAUUACAUUUAUUCUCUCUAAACUUUCUAAUUCAAUAAUAAAUGAUUAAUGCAUUUUAUUAUUUUUCUUAUUGAUAUUUAUUUUCUAGUUUUACUACAUACUUAUUAAAGCAUUUAUAUAUUUAUAUUAUCAUACAUGUUAUAUGCAUAUACAAAGUGAAAAUAUAUUUUUACAAAAAUCAAUUAUUAAAAAAAAAAAGUAUCAUAAUAUUUUUACAAAAAUCUAUCAAUUAUUAAAAUAAUUUAUCAUCAUGAGGUAUAAAAACAAAACAUAUAAACUUACAAAAAAAAUAGUAUGUGUAAAAUAGAAAUACAAAAGUAACAAAAAUAUAGAAUAAUUCAUGUAAGAACAUUUUUUUGAUGAUUGAUAAAUAAAAUUUGAGACACAAUUUUUUUUUUANNNNNNNNNNNNNNNNNNNNNNNNNNNNNNNNNNNNNNNNNNNNNNNNNNAGUAAAAUAAAGGUGUAGAGAGAAUAAGAGGUAUACUGAGCAAACAGUAGCGGAGCCAGGAAUUCAUCUUAGGGGGGUUCACAUAUAAAGUACCGAUCGUUAAAAAAAAAUAAAAUUGAUCAUUAGAUCGUAUAAACUGAAUUAUUGUAUCAUAAGUUAAAAGUUGAAAACACAAUAACAUAACACUAAUAUAAAAUUCUUAAUCAACAAAAUCAAUAAGGCAACAAUCUCGCAACAUCCAAUUAAAUAUAAAACAUGAAUACGACGUCCUAAUUUAAAAAUAAAAUCUAAUCCAAAAACAAUAAAAUACAACUUCAAAUUAGCCAUAUAUCAAAACAAAACUCGGUGUUCCUGCAUGUCUUGAAAGUCAUCUACUAUUGAAUUGAUGUUGAAUUUUUCUACAAUCUCUUUCUCAAUGUACAUUAGUAACGAGUCUGUAAGGAAGUCAUUAUCCAUACGGUUACGAAGCCUUGUUUUGACUAUACUCAUAGCAGAAAACGAACGCUUCGUAGUUGUUGUAGACACUAGAAGAGUAAGGACAAACACAAUCAUCCUAUAAACAAGCGGAUACGUUCUUGAUCUUCUAGUUGUCACCAACCACUGAAAUAUAUCAUAAAUAGUUGAAAGACUUUUGAACUCUUCAUCUCGAACUACAUCAUACUCAAAAAAUUCAAGUUGCUUCUUGAGUUGCAGAGGGGAAGCCUGUGACAAAAAUUAUAGAGGACGCCACUCUAGUCCUAAUAAGAAUAAAAUUCUUUAUUUAAUAUUAUUUUAACUUCCUUAUCCUAAUUUUAUAUUAAUUUUGAUUUUUAUUGUAUUUUUUUUAUUAUAAAAGGAGAUCAUCACAUGGGUGGGGGAAACGUGGGAGGUAUAGUACCAAGGUCUGAGUCUAAGGGGGGUUCACAUUUAUAUAUAUAUACAUAUUAUUAUAAUAAUUUAAUUGAAAGUGUACAUAUUCGGAGGGAAUCUGCGGGAAGCCUGGCAGGGGUUCGGACCCUACCAAGCCUGAGUAUACAUCUGUCCUUGUGAGCAAAUUUAGAGGUCCCAAUAGCCGCACUCUUAUAAAAAUCUUUAUGGAUGGUUUAAAAUGCUUGAGUAUGAACCAGAUUCAAAACCCAUGACUGGAUAUGGGUAAUCAUACAAUGUCUACAAGUGAUGAUCAAUCCUUAUUUGGAUACCAGUUCAGUUUUCAUAAUCUUCAAAGAGAAACUCAGAAAGAAAAUUUAAUGGAGAAAGAGAAGGUAGAGUGCAGAGUGGGAUUAGAAAGAGACUUUUGAGAGGGAGAGUAAAUUAGUGUGGUCUCGGGAAGAAUAUAAGAACACAAAUUUUCAGAAGAGUUUAGAGACGCCGUUUAAGCUUUGUUAACAGAGGACUACAUAAAUUUGGCAUAUAAUGCAAACUUUGCUGACGUGGUAGCUUACUAAUCGUUGGAUUCUUCAUAAACGGCUAAGAUAAAAAGCUGAGGAUAACCAAACACCAUUAAUAGCCAAGGAGAGGAUCAUGAUCCCUCCUUCAAUGUUUGGGUGCCUUUACAUAAUGGAUCAUUGAUGCUAGAAGUAAAAAGCUAGCAACUGUGGUUUUUCCUGGGAAAGGGAAGAGAAGUUUAGAAAACUACCCAUUUUUUAAGAGUGAAAAUGAUUAUUAACUCUUUUUAAAAAACUUUGAAUUCUAACCAUUUUAUAAUGUGAAAUGACAUGAUUAUCCAAAACACAUAAUUUUAAUGGGAACAUAGCUGACGCUUCAAGUUCCUCCUAAUUGCAUCUCUUAAACCCAUAUAGCUUGAUGAUUAAAACUCAGAAGCAUUAGGAUUCCAUAUUCUCAUUAUGACCUCAUGUAUAGUAUAGCUUAGUACAACACCACAUAUGUUCCGUCCAUAAUUUAGCUAGGUAUCCACCAAGGCAACGACAAACCCAAAAUCCUUCAACCGUACUGAAGUCACAAUUUCCUUUAUGUUGUGUUCAUAUGGCUUCCAAAUCCUGAUGUUCGACGAGUGUAUCAAAAUAUAAUUUUUGGUUCAUCAUCGGCUUCCUUGGUGUUAUAGAUACACAGUAAAAUUUGUAGAAUUUAUAAGUGAUCCUAAUUAGCAAUUAUGAUUCAUUCACUACCAGGACAAGCACUUUAGCCGACGAAAAAGUUUCGUCGGCCUGUUAGCUUAAUUCGUCGGCUAAGAUCUUAGCCGAUAAUUAAGAUUUCGUCGGGAAAAGGUCGUCGGCGAUGACUUUAGCCGACGAAAAAAGAAGACGUCGUCGGCUAUAGUCCCACAGUUUAGCCGACGAAAAACAUGUCGUCGGUUUUUUGCCCAAACUUUAGCCGACGAAACAAUCAGAUAUUCAUCGGCUAAAGUGUGCAAUAAAAAAUUAAAAAAAUAAUUAUAGCCGACGAAAUAUAGUAUGUUUCGUCGGCUAAACCUUAUAAAAAAAUUAAAAAAAUAACUAUAGCCGACGAAAUAUAUUCUGUUUCGUCGGCUAAACCUUAUAAAAAAAUUAAAAAAAUAACUAUAGCCGACGAAACAUGCCAUAUUUCGUCGGCUAAACCUUAUAAAAAAAAUUAAAAAAUACUAUAGCCGACGAAUAUAGUAUUUAAAUAUCGUAUGCUAAAGUUGCUGGUUUUUGAAAAAAAAAACUGCAGAAACUUUCGGCCACCUCCAAUCACCACCAAAAUUUGAUAGAAUCUUCCUCUCAACAUUUCGAACAACUUUCUAGAAGAAGUCGAAGCCCAAUUCUAAGCCUAAACAAGUCAAUUGAAUCAAAAUAUAAAAAUCCCCAAUUUUAAACCCUAAAAACUUCAAAUCUUCGAUUCUCCUCACACACACUAAAUCGAGCUACCAAAUUCUAGGGGAAUAUAGUACUAAUCAAACUCAACUUAUCCAUAUAUAGAACUCAUCAAAUGGUGACCUGAGGAAGGAGAAAUUCGAUCGACACCGAAUCCGAACCGACAGAGUUUUGGAGCUCGAUUUAUCCCUCACGAUUUAUCCCACUCGAUGCACCACCUAUCCAGCAAUGAUGUAGAGACGACGGCGAAGCUUUUGGGACAAGUGUGGCAGUCUCCGGUUGCUUGACGGCGGAGCUAGGCCGAGAAGAAAAUCCAAAACUUUUUCUGAUUUUCUGACUUCUUACCAUCCACCUUCGGUAAAACUCCUAUAUAAAGAACUUUAUCCGACGAAAUUCUUUAUUUUCGUCGGCUAAACUCUUUCGAAAAUUUUUAAAAUUUUGGUUGACCGCAAAAAAAUUUUGGUUGAAAAUUUUUCAACUUUAGCCGACGACUUUUCAUAUAUUUUCAUCGGCUAAAGUCCUUUGAAAAUUUUCCUCCAAAUUUGGUUUACCGCCAUAAAAAUUUUGACCUUAGCCGACGACUUUUUUAAUAUCUCGUUGGCUAAAGUCUAUAAAUUCACGAAAACGCUCAUAUCUCCUUGUAUAUUACGUAGUUUGGUCAAACCUUCCACACGUAAAACUUUCACGUAGAUGAGACGCAACCGCCUAUAUAAAAAUUUUGAGACAUUUACCUUCCGACGAUAGGGCUCCCCAUAGGGAAUAAUAACUGUAAAUAAGGUUGACCGCUACUAUCGGCACCCAGACGUUACUCGAUUUACGUGAUUUUUGAACCAUAGCCAUAUUUCACCAUUCUGAACACAUUUUAUUUCACGAGAUUUUUGAUAAUUUUGCUUCCUAUGUAGAGUUGGUUCACAAAGUUGUAUAACCUAUUAAACAAGUUAGACAACAUUAGUAGACACGUUGUGAUUUCGAUGACUAAAAUUCACAAACCAAAAAUCGACUGUCAGAUAUGAUCAUUAUGACGAAAGAUGUCUAUGGUAAAAAAUUCAACUGGAUCCGACAACGUUAAGGGCUCGAUCGAAACGGUCAACCCUAAUCCAUCGUCAUUUAUCACACGAAAACGCUCAUAUCUCCCUCUAUAUCACAUAGUUUGGUCAAACCUUCCACAUAAAAAACUCUCACGUAGAUGAGAUGCCUGCCCAUUUAAAAAUUUUGAGACAUUUACCUUCCGACGAUAGGGCUCCUCAUAGGGAAUAAUAACGCUAAAUAGGGUUGACUGCUACUAUCGGCACCGAGACGUUACCCAUUUUACAUGAUUUUUGAACCAUAGUUGUAUUUCAUCAUUCUGAACACAUCUUAUUUCACAAGAUUUUUGAUAAUUUUGCUUCCUAUGUUGUAUAACCUACUAAACAAGUUAUACAACAUUAGUAGACACGUGAUUUCGAUGAAAAAUUCCACAAACCAAAAUUCGACCGUCAGAUAUGAUCAUUAUGACGAAAGAUAUCUAUGGUAAAAAAUUCAACAUGAUUCGACAACGUUAAUGGUUCGAUCGAAACGGUCAACUCUAAUCGAAAAUAAGAAAACUGCAUUGUGAAGCCCUAAACGGACUCGGAUGGCCAAAAAGGCCCAUAUGUCAUGGCAUAGCAAUGAGUUUGACUCGUAGGGCCGUUACGCUUCCGUAAAAGUAUCACAAUAGUCAAUCGGACACCGAAUACCAAAUCUGCAGCAUAGUAAAUACCGGGUUUCGACUGUUCUACAUUGGAGAUGUUACCCGAUUUACGUGAUUUUUGAACCAUACACGUAUUGAACCAUUCUGAACACAUCUUAUUUCACGAGAUUUUUGUUAAUUUUGCUUCUAUGUAGAGUUGGUUUACAAAGUUGUGUAUUUGUUUAAAACCUACUAAGCAAGUUAUACAACAAUUUAUUUUUUCUUUUAGCCGACGAGAUUUUUUUUAGUCUAUUAAAAUACUUUAGCCGACGAGUAAAAACUUUGGCCGAUGAAGGAAAACUUUGGCCAACGAAAAAAAUUUCAUCGGCUAAAGUAUCGUAUAGCCGACGAAAAAAUUUCUUCAGCCGACGAAAACUUAAAUUAGCCGAUGAAGGAAAAAAUAAUUUGUCGGCCUGGUUUUUUUAUUUUCGUCGGCUAAAGCCUUUCUUCUGGUAGUGAUUGAUUCUCUCAUUGUGCCUGUUGUCAAAAUCCUUCUUCUAUGCUACCAAAUUCAUCCCUGAAUCAAACCCUAAUCCUCUUCUUCCCAAUGACCCUGGUAAACGGAUGGCUCAACUGCACAUUGUCUGUUGAAAAGUUUGUUCACAUAUGCGCUCUAUCUCCCAUUCUUGCUAGUCACCAUGAAUGCCAUCAAUGGUCUUAAUCUGCUUUCUGCUAUAUACUAGUUUUUCAACGACGCCAAAUUUUCUGUUUUUCCAGUGAAACUUUCUCUCUUUCAAUCAAUAGAAUUGUGUUUUUGGAUAAUCAUGUCUUUUUACACUGUAAAAAGGUUAUAUUUCAAACUCUUAAGAAAAAGAGGUUAACAAUCAAUUUCACACCAAAAAAGUGGUUAGUUUUCUAAAUUUCUCGAAAGGGAAAGUGAGUUGAUAGCGUUUGGGUCUUUUAUUGAUCGAACAAAAAAAUAAAAAAAGAGAAAAUGACAAGUACUUUUCUUCAAUCAGUUUUUUAUAUAGGGACAGUUAAGAAUAUGUGAGAAUGGCAACUCAAGAUCAGUUUCUUAUCAAAUCCCUCAUUUCCUGUUCCAUUUUAACACAACUCAAGAUCAUGGUAUAACGAAACAUUUUAUUCAUAUGUAUAGCGCUAAUAUUAUAAAUGUUUGUAUAUAACUAUAUUGAUAUAUCAUAAGUUGUACUAAGUAGUUGUGCAUUCUUGACAGAAUGGCCUUACCAGAAACAUGCAGCAUAAAAAGAAAAAUCUCUGAUAAUUGAAGCGUUUGACACAACAAAUAUUUGGAAGCCCAAGGAGAUUAGUGAAACUGCUUGGCAUUUGGUCUUUAAGGU